GAUGAACGCUGGCGGCGUGCCUAAUACAUGCAAGUAGAACGCUGAAGGAGGAGCUUGCUCUUCUGGAUGAGUUGCGAACGGGUGAGUAACGCGUAGGUAACCUGCCUGGUAGCGGGGGAUAACUAUUGGAAACGAUAGCUAAUACCGCAUGACAACAGUUAUUGCAUGAUAACUGUUUAAAAGGGGCAACUGCUCCACUACCAGAUGGACCUGCGUUGUAUUAGCUAGUUGGUGAGGUAACGGCUCACCAAGGCGACGAUACAUAGCCGACCUGAGAGGGUGAUCGGCCACACUGGGACUGAGACACGGCCCAGACUCCUACGGGAGGCAGCAGUAGGGAAUCUCCGGCAAUGGACGGAAGUCUGACCGAGCAACGCCGCGUGAGUGAAGAAGGUUUUCGGAUCGUAAAGCUCGGUUGUAAGAGAAGAACGAGUGUGAGAGUGGAAAGUUCACACUGUGACGGUAUCUGACCAGAAAGGGACGGCUAACUACGUG
rnacentral:rRNA from 1 species